CAGCAGCCACGGGAAUACGGAGGGUGCAAGCGUUACUCGGAAUCACUGGGCGUAAAGGACGCGUAGGCGGAUUAUCAAGACUCUUGUGAAAUCUAACGGCUUAACCGUUAAACUGCUUGGGAAACUGAUAAUCUAGAGUAAGGGAGAGGCAGAUGGAAUUCUUGGUGUAGGGGUAAAAUCCGUAGAGAUCAAGAAGAAUACCCAUUGCGAAAGCGAUCUGCUGGAACUUAACUGACGUUAAUGCGUGAAAGCGUGGGGAGCAAACAGGAUUAGAUACCCCCGUAGUCCCUGUCUCUUAUAC
rnacentral:rRNA from 1 species